rnacentral:lncRNA from 12 species
AUAGAAUCCAUCAGGUCCCCCAUAGCAGGAUGAUCCAGAAAAUCAGACUUCUUUCACCUGAGGUCAUAUGUCAGUACUUUAAGGUCCACGAAAUCCUGAAGUUCCCUGAUGAGGGAAGAAGCUGGAACCAAGCCCAAGAGCCAGAGAAACUUCUGCACAGGCAGCCAGGAGGCCAUGGUCAGGAUUGCACUGGAAGUUACAAUGCUUAACACCA